UUGCAGUGCAUCAGGCAUUUGUGGAAGCUGCAGAGGUUUGUUCUGGAGUCUGAAAUGGAUCUUAUGUGACUGUUGUUAACAAGAUGUUUAUCUUUGCUCCGAUAUAAACACACCUGCUCUAAUACAUAAAUAAAUUUGCUUCCACCCGGCUACUACACCCAGCCAACAGCUCCAGUACGUUAUGGAGAAGAAACUGGUAGGUCGCUAAGCCGUGCUAGGGAGCGGCAGAAAUGGGGCAGAGCUCCCGGAAAGCCGGGAAGAGUCAGAAGAGGAGCCCUCGGCGGUGCCGGGGAGCUGAGCCAGCUCUUCCAGCCCAUUUCCUUCAGUGAUAUCUGGAGAGGAUCUGAUAAGCUUUACACUGCGUUUCACAGGUCAGAGGGCAUUGUCUUCCCCUUCAUUCCAGCUGCCAACAACAAAGUCAGACAUAUGUUAUCACCAUCACACAGGAAGCUCUGAGCUUCCUCAUGGUCAACAAAGUACAAAUACAGGAAGAGUGUCUGCUAUUUUUGACUGUGUGCGUUGAACUUGCGUGGCAAGCCUGGCAACUGAGCAAAGAAAUACAUGCAGCCAGGAGUAACUGGCCACUCUCCUUACUUUCCUUCCCAGUUCUAAUGAGGACUGUGACCUGCAGGCUGGACUGGAUAGGGAUUGGUGGUUUUCUGUCUGUUGCUCCUGUAACUUGUGCUCUUGCUUCUUCAGUGCCCACUCGGUCUUCAGAUCAGUUCAUGAUGCUGGUCCUGCUUAGAACAAGACACUGCUGAAAAAGUAUUCUCAAGAGAUUGGGCAGAAAGCUUGCUUAUAAAUUUUUGGAAUGAGUUUCUUAAUUCUUACCUUGAUAUUUUGAAUAAAUCAUCUACAGUUAUGAGACUUCUGAGACAUCAAAGUAUAGCAUCACAGACCAUAGUAGCAUGAGAUACUCAGGAUGAUAAAAGUAAUAGGUUGUACUCUACUGGGUAGGGUUCAUUUGUUUUUAGGCUCGUGGUGGAAUUUUGUGAUGUCACUGUUACUAUUCCAUGGUACUAGUGAUUUUUUUUUUUCCUGAUUAUUCAAAACAUUAAAAAGUUAUAAUGUAAGAUCUGACAUCAAAACUUCACAUGAUAAGCAAAACUUCCUAAUGCUGCACCUAUUCAGAUAAGUAAUUCUAUUGUAUUUAGUGGGAUUGGUCAUGUUAUUUACAACUUGAUGUGCAUUUAAAUGAUUUUCUGAAGACUAGCCAAUGUAUUCUGUAAUCUCAUCUAAUGCACCUUUAUUAUAAUGCUGUUGCAGGUGAGUAUGUAUAGAUAGAGCAUAGGGAGUU